rnacentral:lncRNA from 1 species
GAUUUAGGAAACUUUCCCGUCACUUUUUUGCCCAAAUUCUUGAAGCUCCAACCACUACCGCCCCACAAUACCUACAUCAAUGGAUAGAGCUCCCCAAGACCUAGCUAUUGAUGCCAAUUUUACCCUGAAAAUUCGGCGACCAAAAUCCGGCCAAAUUCCGGCGACCUCCCCGAACACCCUCUUUGGGCAUACCACCAUUUUUUCGGCCACUUGAAUUAUAAAAUGGUAAAAAUUCUAUUCUUUUUUGUGGAUGUUUUUUCUAUUUUAUUUUUAUUUUUUCAGAUUUUAUUUUUGUCUAUUAUUAAUUAUUUUAGCAUUUGUUUUUAAAGUUUGAAAUACUAAAUUUUCUGUUUUUGCUGAAGUAGUAAAAUAGUUUUGUAUCGAUAAAAGUGAGGUAGUGAAAAAUACUUAAGAGUAUAUGGUACUUGUUUGGUUGUUUAUUUACUGCUUCAAGACUCUUUGAGUACAAUACUCAAAAGUAAAAUUGUUUGGUAAGAAAAUGUAGACCUUUGGACAAUGUUUGAAUAAAAGUCUGUCUUUGAAUAGUGAAGGGCAGAUUUUGUUUGAAAUACUCUCUGUUGGACAAGAUUGAACCAAAAAAGUCUUGCUUUUGAAUUUAAGAGCAGAUUUUGUGAAAAAAUCUGUCAGAAAGAUUGAUUUUUAAUCUUGAAAUAGCUGGUUGUUUCUGGAAAAAAAAAAGAAGGAGGAGGAGGACACUCCAUCUUACUAAGGGGGCUAGACACACAAAAAGAGAAAAAAUCAGUAGCUAUAAUAUCCCUUAACAGCUUUUGUGAGUUGAUUCUUAAGUGAAAAACUUGUUUAAGGAAAAUAGAGGAGUCUUGAAAGAUUUUUCUGGAGUUACAUAAUUGUACUGUUUUGUUGGGGUAUUUUUAGUUUAUUUUCUUGGGUUUGAAUCUGCCGGUUGUCGCUGUCUUUUGCUGUUGUUGCUGCCCAUUUAAUUGUUUUGCUGUUGAUUUUUGGAAAGAGCUGACUCUGUUGUAUUUGUUCUUCUUUCUGCUGUCCAGGUAAUUUUCGGACC